UUCAAUCUAGUUAAAAUAUAACAUAAGAAUGUCAACUUAAAUUAUUAUUUAAUGAUUUAGA
rnacentral:tRNA from 1 species